rnacentral:lncRNA from 1 species
UUUUAACUCAGUUACCUCUCUAGAGACCCUAUCUCCAAAUAUGGUCACAUUCUGAGACACUGGAGGUUAAGACUUCAUAAGGAUUUUGGGGGGACACAAUUCAGUCCAUAACAAUGCAGAGAAUGGGGAUCACUCUAGGUGUCUCAAGCAGACAGGGAUUUAAUACAGGGUACAAGGUACUUACAAAGCCACUGGAAGGGCUGGAGGAGCAGGCUCUAGACGUGACCCCCUUAGGAAGGCUGCAGAACCCACCCUCCAGGGAGUGGCUGCCUCCUGCCCAGUCAGGGAGUUGGGAUGCUGCCACUGGAACUGUUGGCUGUGGAAACACCUCCACGGGGGCUGCUCUCCGGAGAUCCUGAGAUGCUGCCCUCAGUGUUGGCUCCAGAGCCACACUGCACCAGAAAAAGCAGGUGUCCCCAAGACUUCCGCCCAUCAGGACUGGCUGCAGAAGAACCCAACGGCAGUGUAUAAUCAUGCUUGCCCGUCACGUAGCAGAAACCUCUGCACCAUUUCUCACAUGGGUCUGCCUGGUGGAACCUAGUGUAUGUGCAUGUCCCCAGCUGCAAGGCAGUCUGGGAAGUGCAGUGGGAUGUUGAGCACUAACCCGGUCUAUCCAGCACAUUCUUUGUGUGCCUGUUGGAGCAGCUCCCUAUGCUUUCUUGUUUUUGCUCCUUCAGAACCUCAAUUUGUAAAUGGCCUGGGCUUGUCAUCCUUCCACGUGCAGCUUUCGCAACUCACUGCCUCAGUUUCUCUGUUCUCAUAUGAAAGGUCGUUUGGACUCAGACCAAAGAAGAUUGUGAGGCCUUACUCUGUCUGAUCUCCGCAGCACCCUAGACAUGGAUUCUACUUCUCUCCAGGCAGCUGCAUGGAAAGAAGAUAGAAGAGAGAACUCAUCACAGCCGCCUAACACACAGGGACCCUCCUGAAGGACGCUGUGCCUGUGGAAAGGGAAUGUAGUUGGAGGACGUUUUGCCAUGUGUUGGGCCAGGCACAUAAACGCAUCGCAUGUGUUAGCUUCUUUUAUUGCUUUAUUCUCUGCAUUUUAAACUUUCACAGUAAUGAAGAUGAUGUUAAUAUUAGUAAUAACAGCAACUAACAUUUAUUAAUUUUCAUGCAACAAAUAGUUAUAUAACUUAUUAGAGCCUAAAAACUACCCUAAGGAGUAGGAGCUCCUGACUAUUCCCAUUUUACAGGUGGGGAAACUGAGGCACAGAGGAUUUGUUUAACUUGAAUACCAUCUUAUGGCUAGCGAGGAGUGGAGCCUGAAAAAUGCUCUGCUCGUUCCCUGCCACUCCAUGUAACCCCAGUCUUUGGAGAGGUGGGUACAACAGGCAACUGAAUUCUCAAAGACACAAUUGCUCCUUUUGGCGCUGGGGACACUCGCUGAUCCUAGACUCAGCAUUUCGUCUUCUCUAGCAGCUUGGCAGUAGCAGAGUUCGGUCUCUGAUUUAUCUGAUACAUCUAAAUGCCGUUUCAGAGCUGCAUAUUAAUUCCCGCAUAAUUUUUGCUUUUACCACAUCCUCUCAGAGCACAGCCUGUCCCCUGUAAGUCACUGUCAGCCACCUGCCCCUUCAAUCAGACCCACACUCAGUCCUAAUGGGGAAGUGGAGAGAGUCACCGAGCAGCUGCACUGUCACUGUUGGGAGUGCCGGGGAAAUUAAUCGAGAAUCAAAUAUUUGCCUACUCCAGAGUGAUUUAUCACAAUUAAAAGGAGUAAUUAUUUGCCCUUUGGGUCAAGUCAAAGAUUUCGAGGGUUUGACUGCUGUGACGUGUAAAUAAAUCAAGCUGCAGAAGUCUCUUCCCGGAGUUC